CCAAGUUUUAUAUUUUUGUUAAAUCAUCGAAUAUUUUAUUAAUGUUGCGAGUAUGAAGAUUGUGUCACCAAUGUUGCCUGAUAAGUGAUAACACUAGGCCUGUAAUGGACAAAGAUACAAGCAUAAUUAUUUAUCAAUAAAUUGGUAAAACAUUCGGUUCAAACCAAUUUCUGUUCAAGUGAUUGUAUUUGAAUACUGCCGCAUUAAAACUGGGGUUGAAUUUAAAAAAAUGAAGCCGAUUAAAUUAACAAAAGCAUGAUUACAUGUUUGCGUGGAAUGAUUUCAAAUGAAUGUAUAAAAAAAAAGCUAGUUUAAAAUUCUGUUUCAAGCGGAGAAAUUUUUAACCGAUUAUUGUUGUAUCUUAUCAACAAUACUAAUAAAAAUUGCAUGAACCAUUUUUCCCUGAGUAUUAACCUUUACGAUACUUUAAUAGCAUUAAAGUUUCUACAGUUAGCACGCUUUUAACUGAAUAAAUCGAAGUUGAAAAAUCGGAUCGGAUAAACUCAAGUUCACAAAAUCUCAGCGAAUAAAUCACACUUGACAUCAUUGUUUUGUGCUAUGGUUACCAGUCACCAAGUUAGAUAUCUUUGAAAAUGACAGGUGUUCAAUCUUUCGCGAUCUAAAAUCGCUUAAAAUUUUGUUGUCUCUUUUAUAAACGGAAUUUCCUAUCUUGUUUCCGUUUCCACCUAAUCUAAUCCCAUAUUCUUGCGAUAAAAGUCGAAAUUUUAUUUUACUUGGAGCUUCGGCACCCUUGAACUGAAAGAAGUUUAUCCACGUAAUUCAAUAUUGAUUGUGACUUGACAAUCAUUUCCAAAUUACAUUAAUAGAACGGUACGCUAAUUGAUAAUCGAAUAAAAAAUUUCCUGGUUUAAUUAUAUGCAAACCGCUGCACAUUCCAUUUGGUCCAUGUUUGCACAAAAGGCAUUUCCCUGAAACGUUUGCCCUAUUAUCAUAGAUUUGACCCCGAAAGAGUUUUAUGUUUAUAUCUAAUUUCCAUAACUCAAGUUCUCCAAAUAACCAUAACUCAAGUUCUCCAAAUAACCCACAUGAGUUUACCAAGUGAUAACAUCUCCCAAAUAUUUUGUUUAUGUUAUCAUUUGAUUAAAAUAUCUAUGUGCAGGAUUAAUGAACUGAUUAAAUCUUGCCUUCCCUCGUUAUCACAUUUUUCCGGCUAUCGGAACCGCCACUCCCUACCACUGAGAGUUUAAUACGGUUAAUAUAGAUAUUCACCAUAAAUUUAAUCCUCUCAUCCUGCUGAAAGACUCGUGUUGAGCUACGCUCUACGCUUAUAAAUGCGUCAGAAGAUUAGGGAGGGCCAUAACACGGGAUAAAAUUUUUAAAAAUAAUUUGGAGCAAUUUUUUGCAGCUUGAACGCUCGCUCCAGACGAGAAAUUCCAAGCUCUAAAAGCGCAAAGUUUCGCUACAAGUUAAAUAUAUUUACUAUUGAUUAGGGUCGAAAGUUUAGCCUUUGUGUGUAAUAAAUAGAUUGAUUAAGGGUUGGACUUAUUUUUAGACCUCGUUUUGGCCUGAUUUCCUUUAAAUAAAGUUUUUGCGUGGGUUAAUUUGUUCAAGUACAAACACUGUGCUUCUUUUAUUGCAACGAUCUCUCUGUUCUUCCUAUUUUCUCUUGUUCAAGUAUCUGUGACUAUUUCGUUUCCAUUCACUUUACGCUCUUCUUCUUUUUCAUUCGGCUUAGCGAACUCGCCCCCAUCCAAGUGUCAUUACUAAAUUUUCUCUCAUCGCUGUUUUUGUGUUUGGGUUGAAAUUACAACUUGGAUUAUUUGAUUUGGUUUAUAGUGCGGUUAAUGUUUUUGUGAACGUCUUUAAAUCGGCACGAAUGGAAAAACUAGGGAUAGGGAUGAUACAACAAAAAGUAAAUAGCACGGUGAGGGAAUGCGGCAGCUUCCAGCAUCAAGUGGAAAUGCGGAUGGAAAGUCCUGCGCAUCUGAACGAAGCCUGAAUGGAGAGAGAACAAUAACGUUCUAAUUUCGAACUAGUCCAAAGAAAAGGGAUGGCAGUUGUGCCAUAAUGACGCAAUUUUUAAAUAUUAAAAAUUUAUGGCUCAACCUGAGACAAAAGCCCGAAAUGAAGCAUUUCAAAAAGAAAGCACAACCUCGUCAACUAAUAAAUUUUAUUAUCACUCUGCUGCUUACACGAGCCUCAUGAUUAUUUAAUGACGGAUGCGGGGCUCGUAAAUCCGCGAAACUUGAUACAGUACACUCAUCAAAUUAAAGCUGAAUUAGCAAACAUCUGCUCGAAAGUAAAGAAUAAAUGUUUGCUAACGAACUACCGACGGAAAGUAUCUCCAACUUGGCAGAGUAGUGGAUUUGUUAUCGACUUGCAAAUUAACGAAGUUGCCGGAUAUGAAUGUGUAUUCAGUUUCAUUCAGAACGUUCAAAUUUUCAGCCAACCAGUGACAUUAUCUGAUUUUCGGUGAUUAUACAGUUUUUAAAAUUAGUUCCAUCCAUUUAAAAACUGGACGUUCCGGGCGGUUUUUCGCGUAGCCAUUUUAAUUUUAAUUAAUUGCACAUUCGCUAAAUGCAAUGAAUUAACGCUGUUUCAUUGGCUGACGUGUCAUCGCUAGAAGUGGUCGAUACCGCAUUAUGUAUCACCAUACACCAAUAUUUACAUUAAAAUACAAACUAUUUAAAUAGCUAAGGCUAAAACCGCAUUCGACGCCACUUCCCCUACUGAAUUUUUUAUGUAAGCACGCUGUCUGCAAAUAAAAUGGGAACAGAAAUUCGCAUCGAUUGGAUGCACUUUCAGCAAUAAGUAAUAAAUAUCCUAAACUGGGGGCUUCAAAUUGCAUGAAUGUGGAGCCAUUCCAUUCGUGCUUAUGGAUACUGACAACACAAAUUCCUAAUCGGUGUAUCCAGAAAAUUUCCGAUUUUGCCCUGUUUUAUUUGUUAAAGCGCACCACUUAGCCGUGUUAUUGCAAGUGAAAAACAGGAUACAUUUCUCUGGGGUGUGAAGCUUAUGUAAUCCUUGGUAUGACGCAGCUAUUAUUUCUAAUCUACACACGAAAUUUCAACGGCUAGAGCCGGAAAAAUGUGGAAACAGAAACUAGCGGUAGGUUUAUCCCAAUUACGAACUUUCUCACUUUACGACAUAUUUGGCUAAAAUGUCAUAAACACCUCACUCGUGUAAAAUAUACAGCAAGUAGAUGUUUAUAAAAUACAUUUUGUGAUGUAUUUUUAAAUAAAUAACCCUGUAUAGUAACAAGGUUUAAAUAUAUUGCAAAAUUAAUUUUUACUUGAAUCAAAAAUGGUGGAUGCGCCGGGCUAAUUCUAAAAACAUUAAAACAAGUUCGGAUUCGGAGCCCUUUUGCAUUAUUUUGAGGGCAAUUACAAUUUAAAUUAAGCGGCACAUUACGUUCAAAUUUCAAAGGUGAUUUGAUGAAUAACCAUUCUUGAACACAUUGUAGUUUUGAAACAGCAAGUAUAAGUAUAAAGUUUAAAAGUGAUAUUAUUCUUGCGUUUUGCAUAAGAAAUAGUCCCUGCGCUGUAUUUUUAUUUGUAAUGCUAUCAAUUCCAUUAUUUAUCUUCAUUAUUAAAUCAGUGACCUUUAGCAAGUUCUUGCCUGUAUUUUAGAUCAAUAUAUCACAUUUCAAUUCGCGAGACUUCUGUCGUGCCGGAUUUGCUUACUUUAUUAGCCUCUGUUGCGAUUUUCUGCUGUCCGAGUUUUUAUUUUGACCGUAUGACCUAUUAGUUCCAAAGUUUGAGGGCAAAAAAGGGUCGCUAAAUUUAUUUGCCGGGCACUCACUUUUAGUUAGUUGACAAAUGAACACAUCCGAAAUGAAUUUUUUUGGCGUACUAGAAGUUUGUAUUAAAAAUGUGACAGAUUAUGACACAAAUGAUCCGUCAAGUUGUUAAUGAAUUUUGAAAUUGAAUGUGCAAGCGUUCGCACGUUACAUUGCCAGACUUGCCAAAAAAUUGUGUUCUUCAUUCUCGACAAAAGUAAUGGAUCGUGACUGAUUAAGGGAUUUCAUGGUUACCACUAAAUUUCCGCAAUCAAAUAUUCGUGGUAGUUGGGUCUUGCAUCAGCAACAGAAAAUGGUCCAUUUUCAAACACUGGCUGUUUUCACAGCCGGCAUUUUGGGAGGGAUUUGUUUCGGAACUUACAAAGAGGCCUUAUGGAAGUUUCUUGAUUUGGAUUCUAGGAGAAAACAGUGGACUGAUUGGGGCUCUGAGUGUGAACAACUAAAAGAAGAAGAGGAGUGUACCUGCUAUCACGAAGACUGAACUUCUAAAGCAAAAUUUUUACUUGUCACAUAAAAAAAUAAUUACAAAAUGUCAUAAUCAGA